CGUGUCCUCAGUUUGAGACCCAGACCAUCAACAUAUCCAGCCCCGAGGGCACCGGAGAUAAACAGGGACUGGGCUCCUUACCGGUGGCAGGUCGAGACGAGAAUGAUGUGAAGUCAAUUCGCUCUCAUCGUAUCAAGAUGGACAAUUCAGGCCAUCGUCUGAAGGAGUCGAUGGAGGAGUGCCAGGUGGAGGAGAUGUCUGUUCAUAAGGACAACCUCCAGGAAACUCACCUGCAACUGCACUCCCCCGAGUCUGACGGCAGAGACUCCAUCUUGGACAUCCCUGCCAGCUCCUGUUACUCCAAGAGCGCCAUGUGCUCUGUGUCAUGAGCCAAGCCGACGCCAGCUGACGCUGUAGCCAGUAAUUCAUUUGAAAAAGCUUUUUGAACACAAAACUUAGAACACGCCAGAUAGGAAUGCAGUUUUUUGCUCAUAUUUUGGCGUCCUUGUUGUGAUGCCAUGACAAUCUCUAAUGACGUAGUGUUUGUUCAUGGCCUAGUCUGUAAUGCUUGACAUUUCUAGUAGCUGUGCAUUG